rnacentral:tRNA from 1 species
AUUUGAAUAGUUUAAAUAAAAUUUUGAUUUGUGGUGUCAAGGAUGCAAUUUUUGCUUCAAAUU